GACGAACGCUGGCGGCGUGCUUAACACAUGCAAGUCGAGCGGAAAGGCCUCUUCGGGGGUACUCGAGCGGCGAACGGGUGAGUAACACGUGAGCAACCCGCCCUUCACUUUGGGAUAACCAUCGGAAACGGUGGCUAAUACCGGAUACGACGCACCGCCGCAUGGUGUGUGUGUGGAAAGUUUUUCGGUGGGGGAUGGGCUCGCGGCCUAUCAGCUUGUUGGUGGGGUGAUGGCCUACCAAGGCGAUGACGGGUAGCCGGCCUGAGAGGGCGACCGGCCACACUGGGACUGAGACACGGCCCAGACUCCUACGGGAGGCAGCAGUGGGGAAUAUUGCGCAAUGGGCGGAAGCCUGACGCAGCGACGCCGCGUGAGGGAUGACGGCCUUCGGGUUGUAAACCUCUUUCAGCAGGGACGAAGCGAUAGUGACGGUACCUGCAGAAGAAGCACCGGCCAACUACGUGCCAGCAGCCGCCGUAAAAC
rnacentral:rRNA from 1 species